rnacentral:rRNA from 1 species
AUUGAACGCUGGCGGCAGGCCUAACACAUGCAAGUCGAGCGGAUGAAGGGAGCUUGCUCCUGGAUUCAGAGGCGGACGGGUGAGUAAUGCCUAGGAAUCUGCCUGGUAGUGGGGGAUAACGUCCGGAAACGGGCGCUAAUACUGCAUACGUCCUGAGGGAGAAAGUGGGGGAUCUUCGGACCUCACGCUAUCAGAUGAGCCUAGGUCGGAUUAGCUAGUUGGUGGGGUAAAGGCCUACCAAGGCGACGAUCCGUAACUGGUCUGAGAGGAUGAUCAGUCACACUGGAAGUGAGACACGGUCCAGGCUCCUACGGGAGGCAGCAGUGGGGAAUAUUGGACAAUGGGCGAAAGCCUUAUCCAGCCAGGCCGCGUGUGUUAAGAAGGUCUUCGGAGUGUAAAGCACUUUAAGUUGGGAGGAAGGGCAGUAAGUUAAUACCUUGCUGUUUUGACGUUACCAACAGAAGAAGCACCGGCUAACUUCGUG